rnacentral:rRNA from 1 species
AUUGAACGCUGGCGGCAUGCCUUACACAUGCAAGUCGAACGGUAACGGGCCUUCGGGUGCCGACGAGUGGCGCACGGGUGAGUAAUACAUCGGAACGUGCCCGAUCGUGGGGGAUAACGAGGCGAAAGCUUUGCUAAUACCGCAUACGAUCUACGGAUGAAAGCAGGGGACCGCAAGGCCUUGCGCGGACGGAGCGGCCGAUGGCAGAUUAGGUAGUUGGUGGGAUAAAAGCUUACCAAGCCGACGAUCUGUAGCUGGUCUGAGAGGAUGAUCAGCCACACUGGGACUGAGACACGGCCCAGACUCCUACGGGAGGCAGCAGUGGGGAAUUUUGGACAAUGGGCGCAAGCCUGAUCCAGCCAUGCCGCGUGCAGGAUGAAGGCCUUCGGGUUGUAAAAUGCUUUUGUACGGAACGAAAAGCCUUCUUUUAAUACAGGAGGGUCAUGACGGUACCGGAAGAAUAAGCACCGGCUAACUACGUG